GACGAACGCUGGCGGCGUGCCUAAUACAUGCAAGUAGAACGCUGAAGGAGGAGCUUGCUUCUCUGGAUGAGUUGCGAACGGGUGAGUAACGCGUAGGUAACCUGCCUGGUAGCGGGGGAUAACUAUUGGAAACGAUAGCUAAUACCGCAUAAUAGUAGAUGUUGCAUGACAUUUGCUUAAAAGGUGCAAUUGCAUCACUACCAGAUGGACCUGCGUUGUAUUAGCUAGUUGGUGGGGUAACGGCUCACCAAGGCGACGAUACAUAGCCGACCUGAGAGGGUGAUCGGCCACACUGGGACUGAGACACGGCCCAGACUCCUCCGGGAGGCAGCAGUAGGGAAUCUUCGGCAAUGGACGGAAGUCUGACCGAGCAACGCCGCGUGAGUGAAGAAGGUUUUCGGAUCGUAAAGCUCUGUUGUAAGAGAAGAACGAGUGUGAGAGUGGAAAGUUCACACUGUGACGGUAUCUUACCAGAAAGGGACGGCUAACUACGUG
rnacentral:rRNA from 1 species